GUUAAAUUGGCAGAUUAGUGCAAUUGAUUUAGAAUCUUUAUAUGAAAUUUCUUUCAUUUAACA
rnacentral:tRNA from 1 species